rnacentral:lncRNA from 1 species
CGAGGCUCUUGCUUUCACAUCACCUCAAAACAUAAAAUUCUCCUCUUAUGAAUUUGAUAAUCUAUUUAAUUAAAUUCUGCCAUAAGCAGGAAACAACUGCAAGGUUUUUCCACUUUCUACUUUGAAGAAAUGAUCUCAGAUUGAUUUUACAUUUUAAAUGAAAUAUGUUUUAUUUUCGUGUAAAACGCAACAAUUAACAAAGAGGUGGAAACGAUCAACUCAGGCAGUGGUUUGUAAGUUGGUUACAUGUAUACAUAUAUAUUUAUUUAUUUAUUUAU